ACACUUUGGGGGCGGGGAGAGAAAGACAGCUGAGGAAGGAGGUACCACCAGGCACUCUCUCGCGAGAGGGCCGAAGAGCCGCCUUCAACGGGUGCCUGGUGAGGGGCUGUGAAGUCUUCGGAAGGCUGGGAUGGCGAGUUCGGCGUUGUAGUCGACGUCGUUGGGGAUUCCCCGGACUUGGAGGUGGAAGCGAGUUCUCUUGGCUUGCAGCUGGGAGGUUGUGGUGUCGGCUGUACCCCCUGCCUCCUCCGGACUCUCUGGACCCCGCGAGUUGGGACAGCGAUAAGGACUGGAGGGGGUGGGGCGUGAGGCGCCGCCGAGAGGCCGCCCGUCGCGAGAUGCGCUUGGGGACGAGCUCCCGGUCGCUUGGGGUAUUGCCGCCUUCCGUCGUGGCUGGCGCGUGUUUGGCAGUGAGCAGGUGGGAGUUCGAGGCCGCCUGCCGCCUUGGCACAGAGGACACCCCUUAGGCCAGGUGAGGGUAUCCACGGGACUCUGGUGCCCUGGGCUCGUUUGGCUAAUGCCCCAGGUCCAGAAAGUAGAGCAGAUCCCAUGCGGGCCACUCAGGGGUAUUGAAUGGGGAGUCUUCACCAGACGCCCUCUCUAGCGAGAAUAAAACCCAUUGUGCCCUAGUUAUGUCGGUAAAUAUUACUGAGUGCACGUAGUUGUCUUCGGCACACUAUUUAAGGAAAACAUUAUUAGACGGGACCACUCAACCUUAAAGAAUCUUCUCUGGAUUACUGUGAAUUCUUCAGAGGAAACCUAUCAUACAUUAACAAACACAAAAGGCCCAAAUGUACGAACUCUGCUUUUUGUGAAAAGUUGUGUUUUGCAAAAACAAGACUGUAUUUUUUUCUGUUUGAGCAAAUGGUUAUGUCGUUCGUAAAGUCAGGGGCUAUGGAGAGGAGGACACGGCAGGAUUUAAAUAGAGUGAGAGGAAUGGUAGAGCACUCCAGAGUUCUAGGAAAGGGGAUAAACUGCUUAUUCUAUUAGAUUACAUGAAAAUGUACUCAGAAGAAAUUAGAGGUAGAACCUGAGUGUGCCCAGAAUUAACAGGAAUUUGCAAAAGCCUUAACAUAUAGUAAUUUCUGUUGCAGUAGAAAAACUAUCCAGUCACUAAUAUGCCAAGCUAUGUUAGCCAGGAAAAAAAGUUUACCCGUCUGCUUGAAUGUGUAUGCCAAUUACAUUUAUUCAGUUUCCUGCUAGAGAAAUUUUCAGAUUCGAAUUGUUUAUUUGUGAGGUUGUUAUCACGAAAAUUAAUCAUUUCCCAAACUAUUAGAGGGCCUUGGAAUAUAUUCCUCUCAUUUACUCUACCUGUCCCAUUCAAAGGAGAGAAGCUGAAGAUGUAAGACAAAAACAAAAAGCAGUUGAAGAAUUCAAAGCUGUGGAUAAUCAGGAACCUAUGAGGUAGAUCCUAUUUUUACUCUCAUUUAUCCCCAUCUAACAUAUGAGGAUCCUGAAGCUCAGAGAAGGCACCUGUCCUUGGGAAAAGCUUAUGUUUUCAACUACAUCACGCUACUGUCGUUACCGAGCUACAAUGGAUUUAUGCCAGAAAUUUGGCACUUAGUCACAGGGUCAG